GAUGAACGCUGGCGGCGUGCCUAAUACAUGCAAGUCGAGCGAACAGACGAGGAGCUUGCUCCUCUGACGUUAGCGGCGGACGGGUGAGUAACACGUGGAUAACCUACCUAUAAGACUGGGAUAACUUCGGGAAACCGGAGCUAAUACCGGAUAAUAUAUUGAACCGCAUGGUUCAAUAGUGAAAGACGGUUUUGCUGUCACUUAUAGAUGGAUCCGCGCCGCAUUAGCUAGUUGGUAAGGUAACGGCUUACCAAGGCAACGAUGCGUAGCCGACCUGAGAGGGUGAUCGGCCACACUGGAACUGAGACACGGUCCAGACUCCUACGGGAGGCAGCAGUAGGGAAUCUUCCGCAAUGGGCGAAAGCUUGACGGAGCAACGCCGCGUGAGUGAUGAAGGUCUUCGGAUCGUAAAACUCUGUUAUUAGGGAAGAACAAAUUUGUAAGUAACUAUGCACGUCUUGACGGUACCUAAUCAGAAAGCCACGGCUAACUACGUG
rnacentral:rRNA from 1 species